rnacentral:rRNA from 1 species
GGGUUAAGUCCCGCAACGAGCGCAACCCUUGUCAUUAGUUGCCAUCAUUUAGUUGGGCACUCUAAUGAGACUGCCGGUGACAAACCGGAGGAAGGUGGGGAUGACGUCAAGUCCUCAUGGCCCUUAUGGGUAGGGCUUCACACGUCAUACAAUGGUCGGUACAGAGGGUUGCCAAGCCGCGAGGUGGAGCCAAUCCCAGAAAGCCGAUCGUAGUCCGGAUCGUAGUCUGCAACUCGACUACGUGAAGUCGGAAUCGCUAGUAAUCGCGGAUCAGCAUGUCGCGGUGAAUACGUUCCCGGGUCUUGUACACACCGCCCGUCACACCAUGGGAGUGGGUUCUACCAGAAGUAGUUAGCCUAACCGCAAGGAGGGCGAUUACCACGGUAGGAUUCAUGACUGGGGUGAAGUCGUAACAAGGUAGCCGUAUCGGAAGGUGCGGCUGGAUCACCUCCUUU